rnacentral:lncRNA from 1 species
UUUUGCUGAUUGGGGGUUGUAACUUGGCGAGGUUGGGCUGUAGCCAGGGGAGGUUGGGCUAUAGGCUGGUGAAGUGGGGCUGUAGGAUGGGGAUGUGGGGCUGUAAGAUGGGGAUGUGGGGCUGUAUGAUGGGGAGGUGGGGCUGUAUGAUGGGGAGGUAGGGCUGUACGCAGGUGAUGUUGGACUGUACGCAGGUGAAGUGGGACUGUACGCAGGUGAAGUGGGGCUGUAACUGGGGGAUGUGGGGCUGUAGCUGGGGGAUGUGGGGCUGUAGCUCGGGGAAGUGGGGCUGUAGCUGGGGGAAGUGGGGCUGUAGCUCGGGGAAGUGGGGCUGUAGCUUGGUGAAGUGGGGGAGUAUGAUGGACUUGUAGGAGAAUAGGCAGGACUAGUUGGGCUAUAACUAGGAGAACUGGGACUAUAAGUGGGUGAGGUUGGGCUAUAACUUGGGGAAGCAGGGCUAUAACUUGGUGAGGCGGGGCUGUAUGAAGGUGAAGUAGGACUGUAUCCAGGACUGUAGACUGGAGAUGAUGGGCUGUAGCCAAUAGAUGUUGAAACAGGAGAUGUACUAGGAGAAAAGG